rnacentral:rRNA from 1 species
CCCUUAGAUGUUCUGGGCCGCACGCGCGCUACACUGACGAAUGCAACGAGCUUAUAACCUUGGCCGAAAGGUCUGGGUAAUCUCCAAAUUUCGUCGUGAUGGGGAUAGAUUAUUGCAAUUAUUAAUCUUCAACGAGGAAUGCCUAGUAAGCGCAAGUCAUCAGCUUGCGUUGAUUACGUCCCUGCCCUUUGUACACACCGCCCGUCGCUACUACCGAUUGAAUGGUUUAGUGAGAACUCGGGACUGGCACUAAGGGGCUGGCAACAGCCUAUUAGAGCCGGGAACUUGCUCAAACUUGAUCAUUUAGAGGAAGUAAAAGUCGUAACA